CCAUGAGCCAUUCAUCAAUUUUCACCUAAUCGGUACCUCUUAAGGGACUAAGUGACACUUACAAUCUAGCCUCAGUGUACCACGGCCUACCCAAAAAUGUAUGAUAGCCAUCCCAGGGUCGUAGCUGUAGCCAGGUAGGGGUCAAUGAAGGAUUACACAUAGGUCAAAAUGUAAAAAUGCUCCAAUCAUAUGACAAGUUAUACAUAUACAUGUUAUUU